rnacentral:rRNA from 1 species
AUGAACGCUGGCGGCGUGCCUAAUACAUGCAAGUCGAGCGAACGGACGAGAAGCUUGCUUCUCUGAUGUUAGCGGCGGACGGGUGAGUAACACGUGGAUAACCUACCUAUAAGACUGGGAUAACUUCGGGAAACCGUAGCUAAUACCGGAUAAUAUUUUGAACCGCAUGGUUCAAAAGUGAAAGACGGUCUUGCUGUCACUUAUAGAUGGAUCCGCGCUGCAUUAGCUAGUUGGUAAGGUAACGGCCUACCAAGGCAACGAUGCAUAGCCGACCUGAGAGGGUGAUCGGCCACACUGGAACUGAGACACGGUCCAGACUCCUACGGGAGGCAGCAGUAGGGAAUCUUCCGCAAUGGGCGAAAGCCUGACGGAGCAACGCCGCGUGAGUGAUGAAGGUCUUCGGAUCGUAAAACUCUGUUAUUAGGGAAGAACAUAUGUGUAAGUAACUGUGCACAUCUUGACGGUACCUAAUCAGAAAGCCACGGCUAACUACGU